GGCUUCUUAAACCUUUACCAAGGUCUUCGAGGCCAGCACCGAUAGGAAGACCACCUUCGGAGAAUGCAGUCUGAGUUCUACCGUAUACAAUCUGGAGGAAUAAUUCUCUCAUAGCAGUGUUAAUAGCAUCACAAACGAGGUCUGUGUUUAAUGCUUCAAGAAUAGUUUUACCAGGAAGAAUUUCAGAAGCCAUAGCUGCGGAAUGAGUCAUACCAGAGCAACCAAUAGUUUCUACUAAAGCUUCUUGGAUAACGCCUUCUUUAACAUUAAGAGUUAGUUUACAUGCACCCUGUUGAGGAGCACACCAGCCAACACCAUGAGUUAAACCGCUGAUAUCUUUAAUUUCUUUAGCCUGUACCCAUUUGCCUUCUUCAGGAAUUGGAGCUGGGCCAUGUUUUUCAAUGCCUUUUGCCACACAUGUCAUAUUAGACACUUCUUGUGAAUAGAUCAUCUUUGUUUCCUCUCCUUAAUAUAUACAUUUUAUACACGAUAUACAUUAUAUCAUUAUAUGAUAUCAUUAUUCAAGUUUAUGAAACUAAAACUUAAAAUAACAAUAGUUUUUCUUAUUUCAAUAAUAUAAUCUUAUGUUAAAACUUAAUCUGCCAAUAAGAUAAUAUUAAUCGAUUAAAGCUUUUCCAGUCAUUUCUGCUGGAACUUCAAGACCUGCUAAUUUCAAUAAAGUUGGAGCAAUAUCACAUAAAGCACCAUCUUUAACUUCUUUUACUUUAUCAGAAACUACGAUAAAUGGUACAGGAUUUGUAGUAUGUGCUGUAAAUGCUUCUUUAGUUUCUUCGUCUAACAUUUUUUCAGCAUUACCAUGGUCAGCUGUAAUACAUACAGUACCACCGACUUGCUGUUGUUUUGUUCUAGAGGUAGAGCUACUGAUUGGAUGCGAGGGCUUCACCGCCUAUCAAAUCCGGCCAAACUCCGAAUGCUAGAACAUGAAGACAGGGAGUGAGCCAGCGGGUGCUAAGGUCCGUUGACGAAAGAGGGAGAACUCAGACCAUCAGCUAAGGUCCCCAAUUGUAUGCUAAGUUGGAAUUAAAACGGGGUGGGACUGCUUAGACAGCUAGGAUGUUGGCUUGGAAGCAGCCAUUCAUUUAAAGAGUGCGUAACAGCUCACUAGUCGAGCGGUCCUGCAUGGAUAAUACGCGGGCAUAAGCAUAUAACCGAAGCUAUGGGAUUGUAGAUGAUACAAUCGGUAGGAGAGCAUUCCAUUCAGCGUAGAAGCAGUAUCGUGAGGUAUUGUGGAGCGGAUGGAAAAGCAAAUGUAGGCAUAAGUAACGAUAAUGCGGGUGAGAACCCCGCACGCCGAAAGAUCAAGGAUUCCCCGGCAAUGUCAAUCAUCCGGGGGUAAGUCGGAUCCUAAGGGUAAGCCGAGUGGCGAUCCCGAUGGCAAACAGGUUAAUAUUCCUGUACUGAUCAUAACUGCGAUGCAGCGACGCAGAGGUGACACUGCUGCGUACUGACGGAAUAGUACGUUGAAACCCGUAUUCUUUGAUACCGGUAGUGAAGCACGCCGGUAGAGAUGAAAGGUGAUAGUACCGCAAUGCUUCGGUUGCGCGGAUAAUGCAGGUAAGCUGACUGCCAAGAAAACCUGCUAAGCUUCAGGUAAUGAUCAUCCGUACUGUAAACGGACACACGUGAUCAGGUAGAAAAUACUAAGGCGCUCGAGAGAUUCAUGGUUAAGGAACUAGGCAAAAUGGUCCUGUAACUUCGGGAUAAAGGACGCUCUUGUGAAAGAGCCGCAGAUAAUAGGCCCAGGCGACUGUUUACCAAAAACACAUGGCUAUGCUAAUUCGCAAGAAGAUGUAUAUGGCCUGACACCUGCCCGGUGCCGGAAGGUUAAGAGGAGAGCUCAGAGGUAACUCGAAGGUUUGAAUUGAAGCCCCGGUAAACGGCGGCCGUAACUAUAACGGUCCUAAGGUAGCGAAAUUCCUUGUCGGGUAAGUUCCG
rnacentral:rRNA from 1 species